rnacentral:lncRNA from 1 species
CCCCUAAUUGCACACAACAUGCCUUUCUAAUGAUUUUCAGCCAUCUUCUUUAUCAUAAAAAAACACCAAUGAUCGUAUAUAUUCAUGACAUUGGCUUUAGAAAAAUCCAAAACGAAUAAAAGGUCUAAAAAGGCACUUUAUUUUAUGAAAAUGUGCACCAAGAAUAAGGCAUGAACCGCCCAACAUCCACAUAUAAUAAUUAAAAAUAACAGACAAUAAAAAAAAUUAUAGAAUACUUGGUCAAGUAAAAAAGCAGAUACCUGUAAUUAAGAGGGAAAAAUACCAGACAGAUACCUUUCAUACUGAUAUUGUAUUUUGAUUGAUCUAAUAAAGUUCAAUCCAGAUAUCACAGCACUACUUUAAGAUCUUUUACCAAUAAACAUAAUCAUGAAAUAAAAAAGCAUUUUAUUCUUGAAAUAAGACAACAUUGUAUGUGAUAUAUUUCAGAAUCAUAAAAAAGAAAUUCCAAAUGACAGUAACUUAUCCUGCCACUCCAACAAAUCAUGCUAUAAAUUUCAACUUUCCGACCAAAAUUUAAAAGAGUUUGGGAUAGAAUCCCCCCGAGUAAAUUUAUUAAACAAAAUUUGCUGCAGCAAUUAGUCUAA